GCCUGGAGCCUGCUUUUGGAUUCUGGGUCUCCCUGUCUCCGCCCCUCCCCCACUGUCUGUCUCUCUCAAAAAUGAAUAAACAUUUAAAAAAAAUUUUUUUAAUUACUUUUAUUUGUGGGGGAAGAGGUCAGCUACAUAUUCUGUUAAUCUUCUUCCAGAAUAAAGUUGUGUCUUCUAUGGCACACAUAGCAGUCAGGGGGCUUAGCAAGUCUUCAAUGAGUAUUUGGGAAAGCCUGAAGCUCUUUUUGAUAGAAUUAACAGCAUCUACCUACCUCUCUGUUGUCCCCAUCUUUGCUGAUGUGAAGUGUGAAUGCAAAUUGUAAACUCUUACACCAUACUGAUAGCUUGCUUACCCUGGUACCUAAAGUGUAAGGUUUUCAUUUUAACCUACAACACCUAUCUGGUGAUAGCAGUUUAAGAUUUAAAGAUACACCAUUAUCACUCACUUGUCACUUGUCAGCCUUACUGAAGUUGGAAUAUUAGAAAUAACCAGUUUGAUUAGCAUGAUACUAUUUGUUUUUGUUAUUAGGUUCUUCAAAAUCUAUAUCAGAAUUGUUAGAUCAUUAGAUACGGAUUUUAUUUUUAUCUUAAUGAGUUAAGAAUUAACAUUCUAAUUUUUUUUUUUUUUACAUUUAAUUUUGAGAGAGAGAGAGAGAGACAGAGCGCAAGCAGGGGAGGGGUAGAGAGUAAAGGAGACACCGAAUCUCAAGCAGACUCCAGGCUUAGAGCUGUCAGCACAGAGCCCAACUCAAGGCUUAAACUCAUAAACCGUGAGACCAUGACCUGAGCCGAAGUCAGCUCAACUCACUGAACCGCCCCGGUGCCCCAAGAAUUAAUGUUCUACAUUCAGCCUUGAUAUCAUCACAUAUAAGAAUUUUGGUGAUAUUAUUAGUGUUCAGUAAUAUCUGUUCUCCUUUAUUCCUGGCAAGAGGAAAAUUACACUUCCAAGCCUCCCUGUAGGUAGACAGUUACCUCUGACCAGUUAAAAGUGAGUGGAAAUAGUGUGUGUCACUCUCAGACUGGGCCAGUGACCAACCCAUUUCCUUUGCCAUGGCAUUGUAGAGAAGGCCUCAGGUGACAUGGUGGGGCGACAAGAUCAAAGAGGCCUUGAUUUCUGAGUGACCACAUGGAGGUCAGCUGGACCCUCAGUGGACUUUGCAUGAUGAAAAAAUAUAAACUUUUACUCUGUUAAGCUGCUGAGAUUGUGUGUGUGGUUGUUAAGCCACUGAGAUCUUAGGGGAGGGGGAUAUGUAUGUUUAACCACAGCAGAGCCUAGCUUAUCCUGAGUGAAAAUUUAGUAUUAAACAACUGGCUUUUACAGGCAAAUGGAGAAAAAAUCAUCUGCUUGAGAAGAGCUUCUAUAUCUUCUAAUAAGUCAAACUAGAAAAAUUAUUAAAAAUUUAUUAAAAAUUUAAAAAUAAAGCUUUUGUUUUUAUUUUGAUGGAAUUAGGAGAAUUUGAAUAUCUUUGUAGCAUGAGAGUAAAAAUGGAAUGUGACUUUUUGAAUUAUUGGCUGAUUCUGGCUAAAGGACUUAAUCACUUCCAUUGACUGCAGGUACUACUUCAAAAUGAAAAAGUUGACAGGAUUUGGAUAAAUCAAUUCUUAGGUGGUUCUGAUUGGGCAAUUUUACAGGACAGAAAAUGGCUGUCUAGUUUGUGAUAUGAAUUUAAAGGAAGCCAGGACACUGAGGGUAAAAGCCAUGAUGUCAUGUUUGGCUUGUUCUUUCCAUUGCAGUUUUUUACAGCAGCUUUAUUUUUAUUUUCCAUUUGCAGCUUUAUUUUUUACAGCACUUGCAGGUUCACAACAAAAUUGAGCACAAGGAAGCUGCAUCACUGUGUCUGGGAAAGGCGCUAAGCUGGUGUGAGAAGGCAGACCUGGGUUUUGGCUGCUCAACAGCGUUACAAUCCCAGCCACACUCUCUCCUUCCCUGGGUCCUGUUCCUCAUCAGAGGGCUAUGGAAAAGGUCACACACAAACAGAGUGCUUGGGUGGCUCAGUCGCUUAAGUGUCUGACUCUUGAUCUCAGCUCAGGUCAUGAUCUCGCAGUUUUGUGGUUUUGAGCCCCGCUUGGGAUUCUGUCUCUCCCUUUCUCUCUGCCCCUCACCUGCUUGUGCUCUCUCUCUCUCUCCCUCUCAAAAUAAAUAAAUAAACAAACAAACCAAAGUGGAUCUUUACAUUUCUUUCCAGCUCUGUCUUUUCCUGCUUUACCUAGCAGCCACUUGGAUUGAAGUGUUUUAAUAAUUGAUACAGUUACUGAAAAGAAUUUUAUAUUUCCCAUUUAAUUAAGAAAAAGUUCAUCAAAUUGCUUUACGGUUAUGAAUUUAUUGAUUCUCCACUCCACCUCAAUAAGUUUCCUUGUACCAACCUCCCAGGGGACAAACUAAAAGUAAGGUAUGACAUUGUUUUCAUUCCUAAGUUACAUAACCAAUUUCAGUGUGGAAUAUGAUUUAAACAGGCAGGAAGAAACACUGCUUUUUAUGAGAGGAAUUUAAAAGUGGAGAUGAUGGAUUUAACACUUCAACUCUCACAGACAAAAAGUGUCUGUAGGAAUUUUAAAAUGUAGGUGUUAUUUUUUAUAUAGAUAUUAUUUUUAAAUAAUAAUACAUUAAAAAUAUAAUGCUAAUAUUAAAUUAACUUAAAUGAACUAUUUCCAGUUUGGAGUGUGUGAUUGCAAACAAAUCUGCUAAUUCAAAGAGAUUUCCUUCCUUCCUCCACAGACCCUCUUUUCUUCUUCUCUGAUAAUCAUUGAUUGUGUUCCCCAUAAUGAAGCACCCCACAGGACAGCAGCAUUGCCUAUAGGUUACAAUGUGAAUGGAGAACACUGGAGUUGUGCAAACAGGAGCCCUGCUGGGCACUGGGGAUACAAAAUCAGCUAGGACUGGUGCCUUGCCCUUUAAAAGCCAACAGUGAAAUCAGAGGAACCUGUAAAGAGGCAGAAUAGAGCAGAAGGUAAACAGAAGGUGGGACAAGAGACAAAGCACUUGGGCUUCUAAGUGAGGCUCUGGGAAGCCUUGAGUCCUUAACUCCUCUCUUUCUCUCAUUCCAUUUCUAGUCUAGCCACCUCUUCUCACCCCUGCACUGCUCCUGCCAGACCCAUCUCUUCUGAUUAAUGUAAUCAACUCCUAUUUCUUGCUUCCAUUUUGACUCCCUUUCCCCCACCCUCCACCUUCUUCUCCAUAAUCUCUUCUCUAGAGGGCACCAGAAUAGAAAGAAUAGAAUAGAAUAGAAUAGAAUAGAAUAGAAUAGAAUAGAAUAGAACAGCUCCCCACCACUUCACACUUCACUCAGUUUGAAAACCAAAGUCCUAUGAUAGCUACAAGGUCCUAUAGAAUCUGACUUCCCACCCCUCCUCUUUUAUCUCAGACCUCAUCUGCUAUUUUCCCUCAUUUACUCUUCUCCCUCCACACCUUUCUAGUUCCUCAAACACACCAGGCACUUGGCAUAUUCCUGCCUCGGGACUUUUGCACUAGCCAGUUCCUUCUCCCAAGGAUGCUCUUCCCCCAUACCGCCAUAGGGUAACUCCUUUCCUUCCAUCAGGUCUUGGUAAAAGGUCCCCUGCUUAAUUCAGCCACCCUAACUACCCUAUUUAAUACCGCAACCUGCCAAUCACAUACUGACUCCCCUUUCCCUAGGCCCUUCUCUUCAUUUGAUUCCUUACCACCUUCAAACACACUAAAUAAUUUACUUAUAAUGUCUGUUCUCUUUUGUUCAUUUCUUGCCACAAGAAUAUAAGCUCCAUGAAGGCAGAGUUCUUUGUUUUCUUCUCUCAUAUUUUGCAAGCACUGAGAACAAUGCCUGGAACAUAACAGGUGCACCAAAACCACUAGAAGAAAAGAAAAAGAAAGAGAAAGAGAAAGCAAGAAAAGAAAGGAAGGAGGAAAGAAAGAAAGAAAAAGAAGGAGUAAAGAAAGAAAGAGGGAGGAAAGAAGGAGGGAAGGAAGAGAGGAAGGGAGGAAGGAAAAAGGUAGGUUGAAGCCUCCUCUGGUCACCCACUAUACUAUCAUACCUCUACCAUAGCACUUAAUCUUUAGAUCUUCUGUCUCUCCCAAAAACUGAAAAGCAUCACCCUGGGCAAGCUGCUUAGCAUCUCUGAGUCUGUUUCAUUACUGUUAACAGAGAUUGAUGAGUUACUAUAUUUACCUAAUAGGGUCAUUGUGUGGAUCAAAUGAGUUCUUACCUGAAAGGACUAGCACAGUGCCUGGCCCAUGGAAAGUCCUUAGUAAAAGUUAGCUGUUGUUAUUGUUAUUAAAACUGUGGCCCAGGGCCAAAGGGCAUAGUGGGUGCUGAGUGAAUGAAAGAGCUCCUGGCUGCUUGACUCAAAAGUGAUGGCUCUGAGGCAGGAGCUGGGAACUGGGAGCCUGGGCUAGGUGAAGCUGGAAAGGAAUGUUGGUGGGGGGCUCUGUGGUGCCCCCCUGAGGAGGAAUGUGGACUUGAUCCAUGGGCCAUAGGUGAGUUCUGUGUUUUGGGAAGUGUAUGGAGAAAGGAUUAUUAGCAAAAUGGGAAGGGAAGGACAGUGGGGGGUGGGGAGAUCAGGGGUGGGGUUAGGAGGAUGUUGACUCAUCUAGAAAGGAAUAAUGAGCCCUUGGGUAAGACAACUGUCCUCACGACAGAUGGUGGAGACAUUUUGGAGAGAAUCAACUCCUUCAAAGCAAGCUCAGGAAGGCAAUCUGCUUUUUGCGUGCUCUAUAGGGUAGCAAAAAUAAGAUUAACAUGAGUUAUAUUGAUUCUUACCUACCAUUAAUUUCUAAAUAGACUUUACUUUUUAUUAACAGGCUCUUUGGUCUAUUAUUCAAUAGAGAAGCAGACUGUUUUUCUCAUGGGGAAUGUUUAGACUAGAAAAAAAAAAAAAAAAAAAGGAAAUUCUUUCCCUGCUAGGUAAUAAAAAGAUGAAGCAAGCAUGGCCAAAAUACAAUGUGAAGGAAAGCUCUGGAACCCGCUGUCGUAAAACAGUUCUCGUCAAACCUCAGUGGGUACUGUAGAAGUUCCUCUUGAAGGUUAAAACAGAAAAUACACACAUUCUGAUUAAAACUCAUCUGAGUUCUGAUAGCCGCUGACAAUGGUUUGAAAAUUUAGGCAUUUUAAGAUCUCCAUAAAGUGAUUUUCUAAGCAACAAAAGGGCAAUGCUUUGAUAAGGCUGCAGGGUAAGAUGAAUCCCCACAGCCUGGAGUUAAGAUGCCAGAGAUGAAGGCUCCUUUUCCACACACAUUGGCUACCAAUUGACAGCUCCUGCCCCUGAAACUUAACUGCCUUUUCUCUUGGACCAGGAAGUUUCACAGUGUGUUGUCAGUCUUUGAUGCUCAGGUGGUGUGAAAAAUUUUAAAAACCAACACCCACCACCCCCACCACCACCACAAACUCUAACACCUCCUGGUCCUGGUGACAGCCCGUUCUCCUGCUUUGGUUUCCUGCUCAGCUUCCCUUCCUUACUAGCAUCUUCUAGCAUUGCAAAAUCAGGCCACCGUUAUUGUUAAAGUAUUUCUCAUCUCUCUCAGGAGCCACAUCUCUUGGGAACCAUAUCUCCCAGAAUUUUGAACCGUGCCGUGUUGAAGACACUGAGACAUGUCUGCAGGGCCCUUUGACAUGCAUGGGAGUUGUUUAAAUGCUGGCUGAGAGCCAUGACUUGUUCUGUUCUCUGGUGAUUGCCACCUCCAAGACAAAAUGGCUAUUUUCUUGCCAAUUCUUUUUUAAUGGCCAAAAUUGGGUCCAGAGGAGCAGUUUCCUUUAGUCUCUGAGAUAAAAUGGUCAGCAAAGCAAGGCUUAAGUGCCAGGCACAGUGCUUCCGGCCCAGUGAGACUCCUUUUGGGAGGAGGGAUGCUGCAGGCAGGCAGGAGAGGAACCACCUGGAGCGGGGGCAUCAGAGAGCUCAGGUACCUGCAGGGUGUGCAAGUCCAGCCGCAAGCUUUCCUACUGGGCACUUAGAAACACUUUCAUUCUCUGAAACUUUGCUUCCUUUGUGAAUGUUUCUCUGGUCAUUUCAUCCAGUGGUUCUCAAAGUAUAGUUCUGAGACCAGUAGCACACGCACCAUCUGGGAACAAGUUAUAAAUGCAUGUUGGCCCCACCACACACCCCCUGAAUGAGAAACUUGGGGCUGGGUCCAGGAAUCUGUUUUAACAAGCCUUCUGGGUAAUUCUAGUGCAGGCGGUCAGGUGCGAAACUACCAAUUUGAACCACUGUUUCUAUUGGUGUGGAUCAUCAAACCGCUUUACUUCUAAUUUAGAAAGUCUUUCCUUUGUAAUUCUGCACACCUGAAGUUGCCUCCUUGUAAGGCUGCUGACAGCAACAACCUCCGUGACAGGAAGGGAAGAAGCACGGUGUUGGGAAACGCCUGGGGAGGCAAUCUCAGACCUGCUGGUGCCUGCUUUCCAUCUUCACACCUUUAAAAAGAGAGAGAACUCACAAGUAGGAGGAAAAAAAAAACCCAUUAAAGAGAAAAACAACUGCUGUUUUGAAUCAGUAGCACAGCAAAUUGAAGAGAUAGCCAUAAAACAUUUUUACUUCUGACAAGAGAAUCCCUUUAGGGCAGGUAAUGGUCUGUUAAAUAUCAAAGGAGCAGACCAAGGACCUGAGGAUAUUAAUAAGGAGAAGAGGUGAGGUGGGAAGAGGGGAAGGAUUUGAGCUCUGCCUUCAACUAACUGGCUGCAGCCCAAAGGGAAGAAGACCGGGAAAAGGACCAAUGCAGAGAACCAUGGAGGCUUUGGGGACUCCUUACGAUCAUUAGAGCUGCCCAAUAAUAGAAAGGCAUCUUAGGGGCAAUAAGGAGCCUCCUGGCUCAUAGAGCAUGUAAGUCUGGAUGGCCACGUGACAAAGAUGCCAUAGUAAAGGGAAUUCUUGUAUCAGGCAAGAAGCCGCCAUAGGGCUAGGGUUUUGCAGACUUAUUACUAUUAUUUUUUAAUCAGAACUCCUUCAAGCUAGAAAGUACACCAUGGUACCUAAAUUUAUAAAACAGUUUGAAGAGAGGCCUCUUUAGUGAUCCCUGGGGCACUGUCUGAUUCUGUGGUGCUUUGAUAACUUUUCGAACCAGAACUUCUCUUUCCUCUCUAGGCUUAUCCUGAGCUCCCCAAGAGCUUCCUUCAACGUGGUAUCACCAAGAUGGUGAUGUUUAAAGGGGGUGGGACAAAUCCAAGAGUGUGUGCUUCUGCAGCCACAUGGCUCACAUUUCUUCCUCAGGGAUGGCACGCAGUGAAGGCCUUCCAAGUUGAGGCUGAGGAUCAUAGUGGCAGGGAGAGAGCUGAGGCUGUGAUUGGAGCUCACUCAAGUGGGACAUGCCUGUCUUCAGCCAGCUUUAGUGCAGACAUGACAAAGCAGGCAGACCCCAAAGCCUGGGCCAACAGUGAUGAUAACUCAAGUCUCUCUUAUAAAUAUCUAACAGGCAGAAAAUGCUUUCCCUUCAGGAGGGCACACAAAGACUAACACCAAGGAGAACUUAUUAUGGUACAGCCGCUUCUCUGGUUGGCAAGAGGUAGGGCUGUGACCUGGAGCUGAUUAUGUUUAUUUAAAUUUUAAAAAAUUUUAUUUUUAGAG